CUCUGACUAUGAUAUAGGUCAAAGAUUAAUGAAAACAUUGGGCAAUGAUGGCGUUAUCCUUAGAAAGGGCAUGUAAUUCAGUAACUUAUCACUAUGUUUAGCUAUUUGAUUACAUGAAAUUUCAGGUCAAUUGAGCCGCAAGUGAAAGGAAAAGAUUUACUCUGACUGUGAUAUUGCUUUAAGUCCUAUCUCUUUCGGCCAAAUCAACUUAUAGAUAAAUAUUGACAAAUGGUAGGUGGUAGUUACACAGUUGUCACAAAUCACAAGAAAUGUUGGUUGGGGUUAAAAAUGUGUCUUUGUUUCAACCUAUAUGUAUUAAUCCGAAGGAUAACACACACUUUCAAGUCUAUGAAAUUCUAUAUGUAUUAUUUUUGUGAUCUUUUAAAUUUAUGAAAUUCUAUGUCUGGUA